UUGAGUGGGGGAUAACGUAGCGAAAGUUGCGCUAAUACCGCAUAUUCUGUGAGCAGGAAAGCAGGGGACCGCAAGGCCUUGCGCUCUUUGAGCGGCCGAUGUCAGAUUAGCUAGUUGGUGAGGUAAAGGCUUACCAAGGCGACGAUCUGUAGCGGGUCUGAGAGGAUGAUCCGCCACACUGGAACUGAGACACGGUCCAGACUCCUACGGGAGGCAGCAGUGGGGAAUUUUGGACAAUGGGGGCAACCCUGAUCCAGCCAUGCCGCGUGAGUGAAGAAGGCCUUCGGGUUGUAAAGCUCUUUCGGCCGGGAAGAAAUCGCAUGGGCCAAUACCCUGUGUGGAUGACGGUACCGGAAUAAGAAGCACCGGCUAACUACGUGCCAGCAGCCGCGGUAAUACGUAGGGUGCGAGCGUUAAUCGGAAUUACUGGGCGUAAAGCGUGCGCAGGCGGUUUUGUAAGACAGGCGUGAAAUCCCCGGGCUUAACCUGGGAACUGCGUUUGUGACUGCAAGGCUAGAGUACGGCAGAGGGGGGUGGAAUUCCACGUGUAGCAGUGAAAUGCGUAGAGAUGUGGAGGAACACCAAUGGCGAAGGCAGCCCCCUGGGUCGAUACUGACGCUCAUGCACGAAAGCGUGGGUAGCAAACAGGAUUAGAUACCCUGGUAGUCCACGCCCUAAACUAUGUCAACUAGGUGUUGGGUGGGUAAAACCAUUUAGUACCGUAGCUAACGCGUGAAGUUGACCGCCUGGGGAGUACGGCCGCAAGGUUAAAACUCAAAGGAAUUGACGGGGACCCGCACAAGCGGUGGAUGAUGUGGAUUAAUUCGAUGCAACGCGAAAAACCUUACCUACCCUUGACAUGCCAGGAACUUGCCAGAGAUGGCUUGGUGCCCGAAAGGGAGCCUGGACACAGGUGCUGCAUGGCUGUCGUCAGCUCGUGUCGUGAGAUGUUGGGUUAAGUCCCGCAACGAGCGCAACCCUUGUCGUUAAUUGCCAUCAUUUGGUUGGGCACUUUAACGAUACUGCCGGUGACAAACCGGAGGAAGGUGGGGAUGACGUCAAGUCCUCAUGGCCCUUAUGGGUAGGGCUUCACACGUCAUACAAUGGUCGGUACAAAGGGUUGCCAAGCCGCGAGGCGGAGCCAAUCCCAGAAAGCCGAUCGUAGUCCGGAUUGCAGGCUGCAACUCGCCUGCAUGAAGUCGGAAUCGCUAGUAAUCGUGGAUCAGCAUGUCACGGUGAAUACGUUCCCGGGUCUUGUACACACCGCCCGUCACACCAUGGGAGCGGGUUCCGCCAGAAGUAGGUAGCCUAACCGCAAGGGGGGCGCUUACCA
rnacentral:rRNA from 1 species